rnacentral:rRNA from 1 species
AGAAGCACCGGCUAACUCCGUGCCAGCAGCCGCGGUAAUACGGAGGGUGCAAGCGUUAAUCGGAAUUACUGGGCGUAAAGCGCACGCAGGCGGUUUGUUAAGUCAGAUGUGAAAUCCCCGGGCUCAACCUGGGAACUGCAUCUGAUACUGGCAAGCUUGAGUCUCGUAGAGGGGGGUAGAAUUCCAGGUGUAGCGGUGAAAUGCGUAGAGAUC